rnacentral:lncRNA from 1 species
GAGGCCAAGUUCAUUCUUUCCCCUUUAUAAGUAAAUCACCUUUUUAAUGUUUUCUUUUAAUGAAAAGUUUAAAUAUGAAGAUUCAAAUCAAGUGGGGUAAGCAAAGAUUAUAAAUAACUUCACAUCUGUUCAGGACAGAUUAUGCUACCUCGUUGGUUACCAAAAAAAAAAAAAAAACCCUCUAAAUUCUCUUAAAAAAAAAAAAAAGUC